AUGCUGAGGGCACUGGUCUUCACGUCGGCCUGCACUGAGGGCAGGGUCACCUGGGCCUGGACCUUGGGUACGGACUCUUCCAAGGCGGCUUCGACGGACUUCCUGGGAGCCGACACCCCGAAGGAUGGCAUCUUGAACUUGGGCAUUUUGAACUUGCUGUCUCUAGCAGCCAAUUCCUUGUCCCCAAGUGACACGUCACUCUCCAGCUUGGUUCCCGCAGCCUGGGUAUCCACCUUCAUGCUGAGCAGUGACACCUCCACGUUGGGGGUAGUCACCUCGCCCUUGGCGUCCUGCCAGUACAGUUUGGGCCCCUUGAUAUCCACCUGGGGGGCCUUGAGGUCCACCUGGGGCACACUGAUGCUGGGUCCAGGCAACUUGGGCAGGUGGUCCUUAAGCCCGAUUCCCACCACUGCUUCCUUGGGCUCCACUUCGGGAAGGUGGCCCUCCGGGAGCUUCACACGCACCUCGACAGCCUUGACAUCCAGCUCGGUGGAGGGCAGCUCGAUGCUGAGGUCACUGGUCUUGACGUCGGCCUGCACCGAGGGCAGGGUCACUUCGGCCUGGGCCUUGGGCACGNACACCUCCAUGGCGGCCUGGACGGACUUGCUGGGCGCUGACACCCCGAAGGAUGGCAUCUUGAACUUGGGCAUUUUGAACUUGCUGUCUCUGGCAGCCACCUCCUUGUCCCCAAGGGACACGUCGCCCUCCAGCUUGGUGCCCGCGGCCUGGGUGUCCACCUCCACGCUGGGCAGAGACACCUCCACGUCGGGGGUCGUCACCUCGCCCUUGGCGUCCUUCAGGUCCAGUUUGGGCCCCUUGAUGUCCACCUUGGGCACCUUGAUGCUGGGCAUCUGCACCUUGGACAGGUGGCCCUUUAGUCCAAUUUCAGCUGCCGCUUCCGUGGGCUCCGCUUCGGGAAGGUGGCCCUCCGGGAGCUUCAGGCCCACCUCGGCUGCCUUGACCUCCAGCUCGGCGGAGGGCAGCUCGAUGCUAACGUCAGUGGUCUUGACAUCAGCCUGCAGUGGGGGCAGGGUCACUUCGGACUGGGCCUUGGGCACGGACACCUCCACGGUGGCCUCGACGGACUUUCUGGGUACCGACACCCCAAAGGACGGCAUCUUGAACUUGGGCAUUUUGAACUUGCUGUGUCUCUCUAGUCCAUCUUUGCCUUUUAUGUCUGUCUCUAACGUUAGUACUGUGAUGCUGCUUUCCUUUUCCUUCUCUGUUUCCUGGAGUUGUGUCGCUUUGUCUGCUUUUGCCUCCUUCGUUGGCGACCACCCAAAGGAGGGCAGCUUGACCCUUAGCAUUUUCAUCUUCCCCUCCUUUUCGUCCGUGUGCGGGCCCCCGCCCUUUCUGUCCUCGUCUCUCUUCUGGGCUGCAUCUUCCUCCAUUUCUCCUCCCUCUUGCGCUGGCGGAUGGACUGCGGGUUGUCUGGGCCUGUGCUUUUCUGCUUCCCCUGCCUCCUCCCCGUUGGCCUCCGUGCCCUCAGCAGAGGCCCUUCUCUGUCGUGGUCCCCGCUGGAGAGCUGUCACGGCUCCUUUCUCAAGCACUUUUUCUUUGUAAAGUCCAAACCUGGGUGUCUUUAAAGUGGGUAUGCGGACGUGGAAUUCUGGUUGGUGGUUUUGGUGGAUGCCUUGGUCUGCUGAGUCUUGCAGAGACAGCCUGGCAAUGCCGACCUCCAGCGCCUGCGUGCCUUCCCCGGCCCCCUCCCUGCUCUGUCUUGGCGCUGGGCCCAGCCCGGCUUUUCCCUGGGGCACAGUCUCCCCCUUGUCCUUGGCCUCUUUUGUCUUUCUUCGGGGUCUGGGUGCUGGGCCCGCCCCUUCCCCGGGGGCUCCCUCAGUGGGGAGGCCGGGCUCCGUGGGGGGCUCAGCGGCCUCUGGCACCCCUGCCGUCCUGUCUUCUCUCCCGCCAUGGGCGGCAGCCCUGGAGGCCUCUCGCCCGGAAUCCCGGGGCCCUGUCUCCACCAGGACCCCAGCCUGGACUGUCCCCCCGUGGGCUCCCCUGCCCGACAGCCCCUUCCCUGAGCCCACCCGGAAUCUCAGGUUCGAGAAACUUCUCUUCUGCUGCCUGCCUGGCCCUGCUUCCGGGAGCUGGGCCUCCGUGUCUGUGCUUGUGGGGGACAGGUCAGGCACGUCCCCUCGCUCGCAGGCCUCCGAGGAGCUGUGCGACCUCCGGGGCCCUGGCCCACGCUUGCUCUUCAGCGCUUGGAAUUUGGGCCAGGAGAGCCGCUCCCUCUGGGGCUGCCUGCCUCUGCCCUCCCUGGGCUUGGAGAUGAGCCUCUCCUGGUCUCCAUCCUCCUGCAGCGUCUCCGUGGGGGUCUCCAUGCGCCCUUCGGCGAUAUCCUGGUCCUGAAACAGGGAGAGAGCACCUUUUGGGCCCCCGUACAGGGAGUCGGAGGCAGGGGCUCCGGGGAUGGGAGGGGGCAGUGGGGGUCCCCCCCCAGCCUCAGCCUGGGCACCCGGAGCCCAGCCGGGGCCAGCUUUGCUGGCCAUGCAAGCUCACCUGCUUCUUGCUGCCCCUCGAGCCACGCUGAGCACCGCCGGAAGCUCCCUCAUCGUCCUCCCGGGCGGGAAGUUGCCGCCUGAUUGUGAACUGAACCUUGUAAGGCUCUGAGUACUGAAGGAUUUUGAGAGCAUCUUCGUAUUUAAUGUCGUCAAAGAAUAUGGUUGUGCUGAGCAGCUGAUCCCCUAGACGAAGACAGAGCGGUCCCCGCACCUUAGUGCCCCGGACCUCGUCGGGCCUCACGGGAGGGGUCCACAGGGGUGCGUGACCGAGGAGGCGACCCUGCUCAGGCUGCCCAGCCCCUUCCUUCUCUUGAGUCCCGGGUGGGAAGGAGCCCCCAUUUCCAAGCAGAAAACCUGUCAGAGCGAGUGGCCCCAGCCCGGACACAGCUAAGCAGUCUCUAGGGACUCAUCUGAGCCCACUGUGGCCCGUCCCCCUCAGGCCCCACCCGAUCCUGAUGGGACCACGGGGACAUGGGGAUGGGGUCGUGGCACCUUCUCUCAGGCUGAAGAGCUUGGCAGCUGAGGACUCCUUCAGCACUUGCUUAACAAAGAUCCCCUGGUCCCCGCCGCCCGUGACAAUGUAGCCACUGGCUCCGGCCUCCACCUUGGUCUUCAGUGUCCCUUCCGUCGCCUCCUGCGUGGACUAGAACAGAAGCACAUCAGGCCUCAGUGAGCAUACGCCUACCCUACAGUGGGCGUGGCUGCUGGGAGGC
ensembl:lncRNA